rnacentral:tRNA from 1 species
CACUGGGAAGCUAAAACGGGGAAAGCAUUAGCCUUUUAAGCUAAAAAUUGGUGGCUCCCAACCACCCCCAAUGA